rnacentral:tRNA from 3 species
UGUUAGGUGGCUGAGCUAAGGCAGUAGACUGUAGAUCUAUUAACGGAGUUAAUUCUCCCCAACAA